CCAGCGGUCCUUUUCAGGACCACCAUAAAAAGAGUAACUUUUCUU
rfam:Soboliphyme baturini genome assembly, scaffold: SBAD_scaffold0000537